AUUGAACGCUGGCGGCAUGCUUUACACAUGCAAGUCGAACGGUAACAGGGUGCUUGCACCGCUGACGAGUGGCGAACGGGUGAGUAAUGCGUCGGAACGUGCCGAGUAGUGGGGGAUAACGCAUCGAAAGGUGUGCUAAUACCGCAUACGUACUGAGGUAGAAAGUGGGGGACCUUCGGGCCUCACGCUAUUCGAGCGGCCGACGUCUGAUUAGCUAGUUGGAGAGGUAAAGGCUCACCAAGGCGACGAUCAGUAGCGGGUCUGAGAGGAUGAGCCGCCACACUGGGACUGAGACACGGCCCAGACUCCUACGGGAGGCAGCAGUGGGGAAUUUUGGACAAUGGGCGCAAGCCUGAUCCAGCCAUGCCGCGUGUCUGAAGAAGGCCUUCGGGUUGUAAAGGACUUUUGUCCGGGAGCAAAUGCCUGGUGUUAAUAGCACUGGGAGCUGAGAGUACCGGAAGAAUAAGCACCGGCUAACUACGUGCCAGCCGCCGCGGUAACAC
rnacentral:rRNA from 1 species